GGAAGUAAAAGUCGUAACAAGGUCUCCGUUGGUGAACAAGCGGAGGGAUCAUUACUGAGUUACCGCUCAUCAACCCUUUGUGAACAUACCUUAACUGUUGCUUCGGCGGGUAGGCGUCCCCUAAAAAGGACGUCUCCCGGCCCUCUCCCGUCCGCGGGUGGGGCGCCCGCCGGAGGAUAACCAAACUCUGAUUUAACGACGUUUCUUCUGAGUGACACAAGCAAAUAAUCAAAACUUUUAACAACGGAUCUCUUGGUUCUGGCAUCGAUGAAGAACGCAGCGAAAUGCGAUAAGUAAUGUGAAUUGCAGAAUUCAGUGAAUCAUCGAAUCUUUGAACGCACAUUGCGCCCGCCAGCAUUCUGGCGGGCAUGCCUGUUCGAGCGUCAUUUCAACCCUCAAGCUCUGCUUGGUGUUGGGGCUCUACGGUUGACGUAGGCCCUUAAAGGUAGUGGCGGACCCUCUCGGAGCCUCCUUUGCGUAGUAACAUUUCGUCUCGCAUUGGGAUUCGGAGGGACUCUAGCCGUAAAACCCCCAAUUUUACUAAGGUUGACCUCGGAUCAGGUAGGAAUACCCGCUGAACUUAAGCAUAU
rnacentral:rRNA from 1 species